CACAAGUCAUUCGGCGCCAAAUCAGAGAAACAGCCGACAACCGUGCCUUCACUGCAGUACCAGCCAAACAAAGGCAGCACCUGUUUCUCCCGCUGGGUGACGCGGUAGCUAGCUAGCAACGAUUGCUGGUUCAUUGGCAUUGGACCGUCUCUUUACUUCAAUAGCUAGCUUGCUAAACAAGUUGGCAUAUUGCUUGCUUUGGUGUAUUGGUCGGCCCCUGGACGCGUGACAUGCCCGUGUUUGUAGAAGACCCCGCUCAGUUCUCCAAGCCGAGACUGAAGUCGGAGUUAAUAGCCCACAACGUCACCCUGCCUGCGGUGGAGAGCAAGAAGCAAGUUUAUGUGGAACUAUAUUUGAAACAUAUCGUUCAGAAAAGUGCUGCAGAUUUCUCUAGUGAUGAGGAAGAUGACGAUGUUGUGGAAGUACAGGACAGUCAGGACUUUGAAGAGGAGAAAGAUCCAGAGAUGUUAGACCCCAGUGUACUGACAGAUGAUGAGCUUAAGACCACACUACUCAAAUAUGGAGUGGAAGCUGGACCCAUUGUAGCCACCACUAGGUCUAUAUAUGAGAGGAAGUUGCAGAGGCUACUAAAACCUGCCCAGCCCAGGCAGAACGGUGGCACAGGGGAUGCAGACCAGUACUCAGACAGUGAAGGGGACGAAGAGUCAGUUUCACAACAAGGAAGCCCAGAGACGGUUUCAUUAAUGGAGGAAAACCUGCACGUUGACAUGCGGAUGGUACCGCACUCAUGGAAUAAUAAAAACACGGAAUAUCGCUAUCAUCAGUGUUUUAUGCCUUCGUCCAGAAUGGUGUCGCCCCAGUCUGUGUCUCUGAGAGGUGGUUGUGAUGUUGACUCCUCUUUGUCCUCUAAGAGCUUCAGCAUUACUCAAAUGGUGGAGGAGGGAAGUUUGUUUUGAACUGAUUUUGGUAUCUAGUCUUAAUGAUCAUAUUUACUAUGUAAAAUAUGCAAUUCUAUCAAUCUCCACUGGAGUGAUAUGCUGUAUUUACCUUUACCUGUGGAACUAUAGUUUGAGAGUCGGAUCCCUCUCUCCAGUAGUGGACCAGAAAUCAAGCGAGGGAACAACAGGAGUAGUAAUCAAGGACCUUGCCCCAGGCCCUACUGGCAGGAAGCGGCGAAGGUGGACAAGUAUACGAUGACUAACAGAUCCCUAUUCAUCACCCCUAAGACAUCCAUUUUCAAACGGCAAAUCAAGGCACAUACAUUAGCUUGUUUACCCAAGUCUUUUAGAUUAUUUUUUUACGCUCUUUCAACAGUUCAUAUACUUGUGCUUUCAGGUCUACAUGCAGAUCUGCAGGGCUCAUUCUAUUACUCUGUUUAUAAAUUGACUGUCAGUAUGUGAGUUUAAUUGGGUGGGUCUUCAUGUAUAUAGCCAAGCCAGUGGUUUAAUUAGUGCUCAUUCAUACCUAAAUUAAUGUUUUACUGAGAAAAGGUUGAUAGAUUAGUUGACUGUACUUUCACUUGAGGACUUUAAUCUUAUGGUCUAGCUAGCACAAUAAUCACAAGUGUCUUUAUCUGACUUUCCUGUUUCCCCCAACUUUUAAUGAUCUAUUUUUGGCAUUCCACCUGACCUGUUUUAAGGUGGUGAGGGCGGACACUGGUGUGGACACUUCUCUUUCCUCUCAUCUAUUUUGGUGUGUGUCAGUCUCUGAUAUGUGCUUCUGUUUGUCCGGU